AGAGUUUGAUCAUGGCUCAGGACGAACGUUGGUGGCGUGCUUAACACAUGCAAGUCGAACGGUUUGGUGGUGGGUGGUUAGUGGUUAGUCUUUGGGGUUUUUUCUCCUAACGACUAAUCACCAACCACUUACCACCAAAUAGUGGCGGACGGGUGAGUAACGCGUGGAUAAUCUGCCUGUAAGACAGGGAUAACGCCGGGAAACCGGUGCUAAUACCCGAUAACCUCUUUGAAUCGCAUGAUUUAAAGAGAAAAGGUGGCCUCUUUACAAUGCUACCACUUACAGAUGAAUCCGCGUCCCAUUAGCCAGUUGGUGGGGUAAAGGCCUACCAAAGCGACGAUGGGUAGCCGGCCUGAGAGGGUGACCGGCCACACUGGAACUGAGAUACGGUCCAGACUCCUACGGGAGGCAGCAGUGGGGAAUCUUCCGCAAUGGGCGAAAGCCUGACGGAGCAACGCCGCGUGAGCGAAGAAGGUCUUCGGAUUGUAAAGCUCUGUGAUAUUGGACGAACAAUUUCCCGUAAAUAAUGGGAAGGAAUGACGGUACAAUAAGAGGAAGCCACGGCUAACUACGUGCCAGCAGCCGCGGUA
rnacentral:rRNA from 1 species